UACAGAGGUCCCAAGCGUUACUGAGAAUCACUGGGUUUAAAGGGUGCGUAGGUGGUCCGUUAAGUCAGUUGUGAAAUCCCCCGGGCUCAACCCGGGAACUGCUUCUGAUACUGGCGGACUUGAGGCCAGUAGGGGUCACUAGAACUGACGGUGGAGCGGUGAAAUGCGUAGAUAUCGUCAGGAAUGCCGGUGGUGAAGACGGGUGACUGGGCUGGUUCUGACACUGAGGCACGAAAGCGUGGGGAGCGAACGGG
rnacentral:rRNA from 1 species